CCACAGGUUAAAAAAGAAAAAAAAAAAAAAGGGCUGUUACUACAUUAGUGUCCAAACGGUGUACCCUUAGAAAGAGCUGUCACAGGCCUAUUUUGAAGGGGCAUAAUGGGACUCUUCACCAAUAUGAACCUGUUUUGUUAUGAACACCCCAGAGCUCAUUCUCAAAAUAAGCCACAAACGUUUACCAAGAAUCUGUUCUUCUCAUGAUACUGGGCUGCACUUAGUGCUCAGAGCAGUACAAGGAUCUAUAAGGCUACAAGAGCCUUUCCUCAAGAAGCUAACAGGUUAGUUGAGAAGGUAAGAAGCUCCUCCCUGAAUGAAGUAGGCAACAGCACCUGGUCUUCAGUGGCCAGGGUGUGGGCAAGAUGGUACAACUGUGCCAAGGCAGAAAAAUUGAGUUUUCAGAGUCUUUGCUCCUGCUUAGAAUUCUGUGUUAGUCCAAGCAUUAGAUGAGUGUCAGAAUUGAGCACAGAUAUUAAUCUUCAGAGAAGAAUGCAGCUCUUUAUUCUACAUGGGGAGAUAAACUCAUAGCUUGGUCCAAAGACCAGUUAGAGCUCCAUUCAGAUCUUGUGAGGGCUUUGGGGGGCUUUUGAUGGGGAUACUAAUGAAGUGAAAUGGUGAACGGUGUUUGUAUUUUUUUUUUUUUUGGCUCUUCUGCCUCAUUUUAGUGAAUAAGGAACCAGACCUGACUCAAGGCUACGCUGCUGCUGAGGGAAGAAUCCGAAUUUGAAUCCAGCACUUGUGAUUCUAGAGCCUGCUCUCAUGAUUUCUAUGAUCCAUUCCUUUCUCAUUGCAGAUUAUAAGCUAGUUGUCACCUGCUACAUGUGGAAAGGAGAUGUUUGGCAUGGCACUGAUCAAUGUGUAUAUUUGCUGAGAAGUUUACCCCAGGAGAAAAGAGAAAACAAGCUGUGUGAAUGGAAUUUGGAGAAAGACAUUUGCACCAGUUCAAGAAGGACAAAGUGUGAAGAAACUUCACCUUUCUGCUACUUAUAAUGGCUUCUUUCCUGAAACUGCCCAGAGCUUUGGAUUUCCAAAGCAAUUUUUUUUAAGUUUGUUUGUUUCUUUAUAGAGACAAAGAGCACACAAACUAGCAGUGGGGAGGUCAGAGGAAGAGAGAGAGAGAGAAUCCUUAGCAGGCUCCACACCCAGAGUGGAGUCCAAUGCAAGGCUUGAUCUCACAACCAUAAGAUCACGACCUGAGCUGAAAUCAAGAGUUGGAUACUUAACCAACUGAGCCACUCAGGUGUCCCUCCAAAGCAAAUUUUUAAGAUAAUAGGCUAAUAUGCUUAUGAAAGAAAAAAAUGAAAAUGUUUCUCUGUCUAUGAAUGAUUAGAUCAAUAACUUAUUGUUGAUUUAAUAAGUAUUAUGGAAUUCUUAUUAUGUGGCAGGCACCGUGCU
rnacentral:lncRNA from 12 species